AAAACAUGUUUGUUUGAAGGUAAAAAUAGUCUAGCCUGCUCACUGAUGAGAUUAAAGAGCCGCGGUAUAUUGACCGUGCAAAGGUAGCAUAAUCAUUAGUUUUUUAAUUGAGAACUUGUAUGAAUGGUUGGACAAAGGAAAAGCUGUCUGUGUUUUAUAAAUAUUGAAUUUAACUUUUAAGUGAAAAGGCUUAAAUAAUUUAAAAAGACGAUAAGACCCUAUAAAACUUUAUAUAAAUUUAAAUUUAAUUGAAUUUUAAAAAUUUAAUUUAAUGUAAUAUUUUAUUGGGGCGAUAAAGGUAUAAGUUUAUAUUAACUGCUUUAAAUAAAAACAAUAAUAUUUGAAUAUUAUAAAUGAUCCUUUUAUAAAGAAUGAAAGACUAAGUUACUUUAGGGAUAACAGCGUAAUUUCUUUUGAGAGCCCGUAUCGAAAAAGAAGAUUGCGACCUCGAUGUUGAAUUAAAAUGUCUAUUAUAGGGCAGCUCCUAAAUAAGAAGAUCUGUUCGAUCUUUAAAUUUUUACAUGA
rnacentral:rRNA from 1 species